AGAGUCGCCGCCUCCGCCGUCACUGGGGAGCCGCUGCUCCGCGGUAGCGACGUCGCGUGUCUUUUCUGUCACGACGGCCGCCCAACAGUUUUUAGAGGAAAAACGGGCGUCCGGAGAGCAUAUCGGAAAGAGACAGAUUACCACUGAGUGCAGCAAGCUGAACUCCCUCAGGCUUAUGAAGACCCUGUUCUCCUCACAMGGGAUGGUCUGUUCAGGAUUCACCAGCCACAGACAGGAGAGUUUCCACCGACGGGAAGCACCAGCUACCGCAGCCGCGUUUCCACUGCAGGCCCCGGUACCACAGAACCCGUGCCACGCAGGGCUGCUCGUGGCCCCUUGUCCCCACAGCCUUACAGACAUUCUUCUUCCAGCCCUUUUGUCACCCAACAGUCCCGUCUUGUGUUCAGACUGAUACUCAAGAACUGAWUAAAAAAGUGAGAUACUAAGAAGCCACACUUUGUAGCAGGAAAAAGAAAAAAAGGCAAAUUAAAGCCAGAUGGAAUAUUUUACCUUUGGCUGAAGACAACCAAGUAGGUUUGUAUUCAUACUUGAAAAUGAUUUUGUAAUGAUUUAUUAA